rnacentral:rRNA from 17 species
UUAAAUUGAAGAGUUUGAUCAUGGCUCAGAUUGAACGCUGGCGGCAGGCCUAACACAUGCAAGUCGAACGGUAACAGGAAGCAGCUUGCUGCUUCGCUGACGAGUGGCGGACGGGUGAGUAAUGUCUGGGAAACUG